GGAGUAGUAUCGAAGUGGUCAUAACGAGCACGACUGGAAAUCGUGUAGUCGCCAAAAGCGGCUCGAGAGUUCGAAUCUCUCCUACUCCGCCA
rnacentral:tRNA from 1 species